CCUACGGGUGGCAGCAGUGAGGAAUAUUGGUCAAUGGACGAGAGUCUGAACCAGCCAAGUAGCGUGAAGGAUGACUGCCCUAUGGGUUGUAAACUUCUUUUAUAUGGGAAUAAAACGUUCCACGUGUGGGAUUUUGUAUGUACCAUAUGAAUAAGGAUCGGCUAACUCCGUGCCAGCAGCCGUGGUAAUACGGAGGAUCCGAGCGUUAUCCGGCUUUAUUGGGUUUAAAGGGAGCGUAGGUGGAUUGUUAAGUCAGUUGUGAAAGUUUGCGGCUCAACCGUAAAAUGGCAGUUGAAACUGGCAGUCUUGAGUACAGUAGAGGUGGGCGGAAUUCGUGGUGUAGCGGUGAAAUGCUUAGAUAUCACGAAGAACUCCGAUUGCGAAGGCAGUUCACUGGACUGCAACUGACACUGAUGCUCGAAAGUGUGGGUAUCAAACAGGAUUAGAUACCCCAGUAGUC
rnacentral:rRNA from 1 species